UGGGGAAUUUUGGACAAUGGGCGCAAGCCUGAUCCAGCAAUGCCGCGUGCAGGAUGAAGGCCUUCGGGUUGUAAACUGCUUUUGUACGGAACGAAAAGGCUCUGGUUAAUACCUGGGGCCCAUGACGGUACCGUAAGAAUAAGCACCGGCUAACUACGUGCCAGCAGCCGCGGUAAUACGUAGGGUGCGAGCGUUAAUCGGAAUUACUGGGCGUAAAGCGUGCGCAGGCGGUGAUGCAAGACAGAUGUGAAAUCCCCGGGCUCAACCUGGGAACUGCAUUAGGGACUGCAUCGCUGGAGUGCGGCAGAGGGGGAUGGAAUUCCGCGUGUAGCAGUGAAAUGCGUAGAUAUGCGGAGGAACACCGAUGGCGAAGGCAAUCCCCUGGGCCUGCAAUGACGCUGAUGCACGAAAGCGUGGGGAGCAAACA
rnacentral:rRNA from 1 species